UACAACAUAUGAAUGGCAUGCAUGUUAAUUCAUGAUUUAUGAUGGGAACCGUCAGAAUAAUUGUAUCUAAAUUAUCACAAUACUUUGUGUUGAAAUGAGUUCCCGACAAGAAGACAAAAGCUGUCUUUGAACCCACCAAGAAGAAGGCUUGGAAAAGUCCACUGUGUAGGGGGGGAAGCAACAUGAAGGUGUUUCUGUUUCGUUCAUGUUUUGUAAUCAACAGAAAGAUAUUGUUUUAACCUAAGAACUACAAAGCGGAGAGAAGGCAGGAUCUGCCCAAGUUCCAGACGACCUCUUUUUUGAACCGACCUUUUCUUUCGAUCUGUUUUUUGCUCAAAGGCGAUGGCUGUUUACGACCCCUGUCCCUUUGGCAGAGCGUAACGACACUGUACGAAGAUGUCAUCGGUGUUUGAAGCUGACAGGAACCAACUUGAUUUUGGCACAGAUGAGUUCUACUCAGAGACAGACCUUCAAAGUAGGAUCUAUCACAUGCCUGCGUUUCACCAAUCAAACAGAGCCAGGUGGUCACAUGAUUAACUGCACACUUUAAAAAAGAUUUUUUUACAAACCUUUAUUUAUACAUUUCAAAAUUUUCAAACAGUUGAAAAUAAUAAUCAAAGUAAGUACAAAACUGUAUAAAAAUCGUACAAAACAGCGCAAGGGGGUUGUAAAUUCAAAGUAACUAAAAUA